GACCGUGCAAGGUUUUAGAGCGUACGAAAGAACGACUGAGACCAAACUCGUACCUUUGUUUUUUAAUCUUUAACGCUUAUUUUUCAUGUUUUCUAUGUGGAAACCUUACACACAGACUGCUCCCUCUGCUGGUAACCAGUGGACCUGCACUAGAGCUUGUGGGGAAGAUGAGAACUUCACUUAUGUCAGUGUUGUCAAAAUCAUGGCCCGGGGGCCAAAUCUGGCCCUUUGCAGCAUCCAAUUUGUCCCGCAGUUUUUUCCUCUUCAGGAAGCUCAGACUGGCCUACAGAAGGUAAACAGCCUGGAAUAAAAAAAAAGGUAAAAUAAUAUUAUUAGUUCUAUUAUUUCUUUUCCACUAAAUUUCAGAAAACAACUGAAAGAAAAACAAAACAUAAACCUUAUUUCAAGGCAACAAAAUGUUCUCACCUGCUGCAUUUUCAGGCUGAUCCUCUAGUAUUUCCUGGUUACAUUCGUCUUUCUCUUCCUGUUGAUCCUAAGGCAGCAGCGAGGAAAAACCCACCAAACCAUGAAAGUAAAUAUAGAAAUAAUAACAUGUCAGAAAGACUUACCUUCCAUUUAAGAAUAAUUGUAUUUCAAUGAAAAAUAAAUAAAUAAAGAGCAAAAAACUCA
rnacentral:lncRNA from 1 species